GAGAAACACUUGAGUCCAUGUGAUGCGUCAAGAAAGAAGGCUUUGAAGUAUAAAUCAGAGAUUACUAUAACUGUUCUUCAGAUGAUCUGCCACAUACUGUAGACUGCUAACUGUGGUUAGACACAUUGCAGCUGAGCCCAUCUCUUUGUGCUUCCUAUACCUUGUCUUCCUAUAGUUGAAUAGAGCAUCCUCUCCUUCUCCAGUUACCCUCAUGGUUAGAAUUACAUGUUCCAGCAUGAUCCAUCCAUUAGUAUUUUAAGACAAACCUGCAAAGCACUGAGUUGAAUAAUCUACAGUUAAAACAGUUACUCAGACCCACCCACACGGCCUUAAACCACAGUGUAUUUUGUGAUGCUGUUAUAUUUAUGAUACUCUAUAUGAAGCACACUUAUAAUAUCAAUAUGGAACAACUGUACUGUGUGAUUGCUAUUUUAUGAAUGAAUUCCCCAUCGAGGAGGAAAUUAUAUUGAAAUUUUUCCUGGAUGUCCAUGAAUUAUAAAGAGUUACCACCAGGCUGUGGAUUUCAUAUAUUUCCAGCUAUGCAAAGACAUACUGACAGAAUAGUAGAUCCAGGAG
rnacentral:lncRNA from 1 species